UCUGGGUCUGCUAGCUUUCCAAUUACAAUCGUUAUUCCUUGUUCAAAUAUCGUCUCCCAAUUUCCUGACCUGUCGUGAGGUGACUGGAACAAGCUUGGGCUCAAUAACAAUUCUAAGUGGACUGUGAUACAAAAAGCAGAGUGCAUUUUAGAACCGUAUUGUGAUAUCAUCUCAUUUUUCAAGCUGAAGAAACACAUGAAACUUUCCGUUUCCCUGAGCCUACCUCCCUCACACACAUCUUCUAUGGAAACGUGGUUGUCCCUUGGUAUCCAUGGGGUAUUGAUUCCAGGACCUGGACACCGAGGUCCAUGGAUUCUCAUGUCCCUUCUAUAAAAGGAGACAGUUGGCUCCAUAUCCACGGACUCCUCACACACCGUUAGACUUGCUCUCUGGUUGGCUGAACGCCCGAAUGUGCCUGGAGGAUGUGGAGUUGUUGUUGCUUAGUUGCUCAGUCCUGACUCUUUGAGACCCCAUGCCUACCAGGCUCCUCUGUCCAUGGGAUUUCACAGGCAAGAAUACUGGAGUGGGUUGUCGUUUCCUUCUCCAGGGAAUCUUCCCAGCUCAGGAAUCAAACUUGCUUCUCCUGCAUUGGCAGAUGGAUCUUUACCACUGAGGGACUAGGGAACCCCACUGCAAUCCUUGUGAAAACUAAAAGCACUGUCACCAGGAAACACCCUCUGAGGAUGAUGCCAUCCGCUUUGAGAAACACUUCCUUGAAGUCACAACUCUUAGGAGAACUUCAGGCCUUCAGAUUGGACACUCCUGAGAGCAAACACUCCAUCAAGUCCAUGACCCCAGAUCCUGUGAUGAGGAAAACUGAUGCCUAGAAAUUUGAAGUGACCUUCAGACUCACCCAACCUGCAAGAGGUGGCUGUGGCAUCAAACCUCCGUGUCUUUGCCCUCACAGCCUGAACUCUUAAGUGCUGCACUUUGUUGCAAGAAUAAUUGCAGCUUACAAGGUGCGCUGGAAGUCUUGGAAUUUGACACCUACACAAUCUGACAUUUACGACUUGGAAGAGGAGGCCUGGAGUGGGUGAUCUGACUUCCAAUGAGCCUUUCAGUAAAUCUUGAGUGGGCUCUUACCAUGUACCAAGCAUCAUGCUAGGUUUGCAGAUACACAUGGACGAGGCAGCAGUGGCAGCCACCCCUCCAUGGAGCCUGCAGUCCAGGGACCAGCCAGAGGAGGAUCAUUCAUUGCCAUUGAGAGAGGUGCCCUCAGUGUAAGUGUUCAGGAGUUAAGUGUAAGCAAGCAAAUAGCGAUGAUCAUACUAAGUGAAGUAAGUCAGGAAGAGAAAGACAAAUACCAUAUGAUAUCACUUGUGAAAGUGAAAGUCGCUCAGUUGUGUCUGACUCUUUGCGACCCCAUAGACUAUGCAGUCCAUGGAAUUCUCCAGGCCAGAAUACUGGAGUGGAUAGCCCUUUCCUUCUCCAGGGGAUCUUCCCAACGCAUGGAUCGAACCCAGGUCUCUCGCGUCGCAGGCAGAUUCUUACCUGCUGAGCCACAAGGGAAGCGCCUAAGAAUACUGGAGAGGAUAGCCAACCCUUCUCUAGUGGAUCUUCCCGACCCAGGAAUAGAACCAGGGUCUCCUGCAUUGCAGGCAGAUUCUUUACUAACUUCAAGGGAAGCCCUGUUAUCACUUGUAUGUGGAAUCUAAAAUAUGACACAAACGAACCUAUCUAUGAAACAGAAACAGAAUCACAGGCAUAGAGAACAGACCUGUGGUUGCCAAGGGGUG
ensembl:lncRNA